rnacentral:rRNA from 1 species
AUUGAACGCUGGCGGCAGGCUUAACACAUGCAAGUCGAGCGGGGUGAUGGUGCUUGCACUAUCACUUAGCGGCGGACGGGUGAGUAAUGCUUAGGAAUCUGCCUAUAGUGGGGGACAACAUCUCGAAAGGGAUGCUAAUACCGCAUACGUCCUACGGGAGAAAGCAGGGGAUCACUUGUGACCUUGCGCUAAUAGCUGAGCCUAAGUCGGAUUAGCUAGUUGGUGGGGUAAAGGCCUACCAAGGCGACGAUCUGUAGCGGGUCUGAGAGGAUGAUCCGCCACACUGGAACUGAGAAACGGCCCAGACUCCUACGGGAGGCAGCAGUGGGGAAUAUUGGACAAUGGGGGGAACCCUGAUCCAGCCAUGCCGCGUGUGUGAAGAAGGCCUUAUGGUUGUAAAGCACUUUAAGCGAGGAGGAGGCUCUUUUGGUUAAUACCCAAGAUGAGUGGACGUUACUCGCAGAAUAAGCACCGGCUAACUCUGUGCCAGCCGCCGCAGUAACAC